AGUCAAGUAAUUAAGUGCAUGUGGUGGAUGCCUUGGCAGUCAGAGGCGAUGAAAGACGUGAUAGCCUGCGAAAAGCUCCGGGGAGGCGGCAAAUAUCCUUUGAUCCGGAGAUGUCUGAAUGGGGGAACCCACCUACUUUAAGGUAGGUAUUGCAACAUGAAUACAUAGUGUUGCAAGGCGAACGAGGGGAAGUGAAACAUCUCAGUACCCUUAGGAAAAGAAAUCAAUUGAGAUUCCCUCAGUAGCGGCGAGCGAACGGGGAUCAGCCCAUUAAGUUAUGUGUGUUUUAGUGGAACGCUCUGGGAAGUGCGAACGUAGAGGGUGAUAUUCCCGUACACGAAAGGGCACACAUAAUGAUGACGAGUAGGGCGAGGCACGUGAAACCUUGUCUGAAUAUGGGGGGACCAUCCUCCAAGGCUAAAUACUCCUGACUGACCGAUAGUGAACCAGUACCGUGAGGGAAAGGCGAAAAGAACCCCUGUGAGGGGAGUGAAAUAGAUCCUGAAACCGCAUGCAUACAAGCAGUGGGAGCACCUUCGUGGUGUGACUGCGUACCUUUUGUAUAAUGGGUCAGCGACUUAUAUUCAGUAGCAAGGUUAACCGUAUAGGGGAGCCGUAGAGAAAUCGAGUCUUAAUAGGGCGUUUAGUUGCUGGGUAUAGACCCGAAACCAGGCGAUCUAUCCAUGAGCAGGUUGAAGGUUGGGUAACACUAACUGGAGGACCGAACCCACUGUCGUUGAAAAGCCAGGGGAUGACUUGUGGAUAGGGGUGAAAGGCUAAUCAAGCCUGGUGAUAGCUGGUUCUCCCCGAAAGCUAUUUAGGUAGCGCCUCGGACGAAUACCAUAGGGGGUAGAGCACUGUUUCGGCUAGGGGGUCAUCCCGACUUACCAAACCGAUGCAAACUCCGAAUACCUAUGAGUACUAUCCGGGAGACAGACUGCGGGUGCUAACGUCCGUAGUCAAGAGGAAAACAAUCCAGACCGCCAGCUAAGGCCCCAAAAUCAUAGUUAAGUGGGAAACGAUGUGGGAAGGCAUAGACAGCUAGGAGGUUGGCUUAGAAGCAGCCACCCUUUAAAGAAAGCGUAAUAGCUCACUAGUCGAGUCGGCCUGCGCGGAAGAUGUAACGGGGCUAAAACUAUGUGCCGAAGCUGCGGAUGUAUACUUUGUAUACGUGGUAGGGGAGCGUUCUGUAAGCCGAUGAAGGUGUGUUGAGAAGCAUGCUGGAGGUAUCAGAAGUGCGAAUGCUGACGUGAGUAACGACAAAACGGGUGAAAAACCCGUUCGCCGAAAGACCAAGGGUUCCAGUCCAACGUUAAUCGGGGCUGGGUGAGUCGACCCCUAAGGCGAGGCCGAAAGGCGUAGUCG
rnacentral:rRNA from 1 species